rnacentral:lncRNA from 10 species
CAGAAAAAAGCCCUAGAGAUCUCCUGCAAAGCGUCUCCUGCAAAAAUUUAAAAAUCCUGGGUAACACCAGCCCACCCAGCAGUUCUCAAACGCAGAAAACAAUGCCCCAGGUGAGGAAAGGCGAGAUGGGGUUAGAAUCCAGGUCUCUGCGAGCCCUAGCAGGUUAUCUGUGGAAAAGCCCGGAAUUGCUUCUCUUUCUGCAGGAAAAAGGCUCCAACCUGCAACAAAACAAAACAAAAACACAGUUCAUCCUAGGGCUCUGCCAAGCUCCCCAAUCUCACUCUACCUCCAAGAGCCUUUCUCCUCUCUGGAGGGGCAGUUAAGAAGGUCUAACAAGGUCUUGUUAGCAGUGGAGCCAGAAUCCCAGGGCACCCAUGACUUUCCCGCAUAGGCCAGAUAUUUAUCAGUAGCAAAUGCAAAGGUUUUCUCUUUAGUUAAAAUUCUCAUUUCUCGGAUAUUCUCUUUCACAGGAAAGAAGUCGAAAGAAAAAAAUCCUUCAAAGAAAGUCAGAAUCAGGCUUAUCUCCAGGAGUUGCAGGCUCUCCCCAUCACUCCCUCCAUGGCCUUCCAGUGGAGAGCUGUGAUCAGGGAGCGUGCCAUGCUCCAGGCCUGCCCCUUGGUCUCUCCUGUGACCCCCAAACCCCACAUUUUCCCACCCACCUGCCACCAUCUUUGCCUCCCAUUCUAGGCACAGGCUCAGGGCUACCCUACCUCCAGGCCUGGGCCUCCUGUUGUCCCUUCAGAUCCUUUAGGAGUGGUGUUGCCAAACUGGGAAACUGGAGAUGGCUUGUCCAGCCCCUUGCUUUAUAGAGGAGAACACUGAGGCCAGAGAAGGAAGGCUAUUGCCAGGUCAAAGUCACAGAGGCUAUAACGGUGGAUCCUGAACAAGAAUUCACAUUUCUGAUGCCCAUACAGUCCUGUUUACUGUAAGCAAGCCCUAAGUAAAUGCCUUUCUCUGUAAUCUGGCUAAAACACUCUAAAACAGUAGAGCAUUGCUGAAUCACCUCAAGUGACAGUCAUUCUUACAUUCAAGGAAAUGAUCCCUGCUGCUCCCUUCAGGGAAGGUGUAAGGGCAGGUGAAAAUAAUAACUACCCUGAAAUUCUGAAGCUGGAGGUAGAAUGGUCUGUGCUAACAAUGCCACCCUCAGCUGUUUAUCCUACAGAUGAUGAGACAGACGUGAGAGAUCAUUUUAAACUUAUGUGAAAAAAUACGCGAACCAAUCCCUAUCUGGAAGCCAUACUGCAAGUAACCUAAAUGCCCAUCUCUAGGUGCUGGAUACAUAAAUCCUGGGGCAUCCUUCCACUGGAAGAUAGACAGCUAUCAACAAGAAAGAG